rnacentral:rRNA from 1 species
UAAUGCAAGUGAAUAUUUUUGGUUGAUGUAGUUAUAAAUUUUUUAGAGUUUUAAUAAUAAAUUUUUAGGUGAAAUUUAAUUUUAUUUUUUGACUCAAAAUUUAGAAUCUAUGAAACUUAUAAUUUAAACUAGGAUUAGAUACCCUAUUAUUUUAAGUGUAAAUAUUGUUUUACCUGGGUAGUAUUAGUUAAGGUCUUUAAACCCAAAGAAUUUGGCGGUAUUUCAUUCCAUUCAGAGGAACCUAUCUCGUAAUUGAUAGUACACGAUUUACUUUACUUAAUUUAUUUGUUUGUAUAUCUCCGUUAUCAGAAAAUCUUUUUGGAGUUAUAAUUUUCUUGUUUUUUAAUUAAAUUUUAUUUCAGGUCAAGGUGCAGCUUAUAGUUAAGAGUGUGAUGGGUUACAAUAAUUUUUUUUUAUUAUGGAUUUAAUUUUGUAAUAUUUUGAUGAAGGUGGAUUUGAUAGUAAUUUWAAUUAUUUAAUUUAACUGAUAUUGGC